rnacentral:misc_RNA from 1 species
UUAGUUCUUAGUACGAAAGGACCAGGACUAUAAAAUAUUUUUUUAUAUUUGAAUAUUAUUAACUAAAUUGGCAGAAAAGUGCCAUGGAUUUAGAAUCCAUAAAUGUAAGAAAAUCUUACAUGUAGUAC